rnacentral:rRNA from 1 species
UACGAAGGGGCUAGCGUUGCUCGGAAUCACUGGGCGUAAAGGGUGCGUAGGCGGGUCUUAAGUCAGGGGUGAAAUCCUGGAGCUCAACUCCAGAACUGCCUUUGAUACUGAAGAUCUUGAGUUCGGGAGAGGUGAGUGGAACUGCGAGUGUAGAGGUGAAAUUCGAUAGAUAUUCGCAAGAACACCAGUGGCGAAGGCGGCUCACUGGCCCGGUACUGACGCUGAGGUGCGAAAGCGUGGGGAGCAAACAGG